CGACUUUUCGUUGUUUAUAAGUUGAAUAGACUCACACCAAGGAAAACAAAAAAACAACUUCACAUUUUUAGGUCAGGAUCCUGACCAGCAAAAUGUUUUAAUCAGAAUCAACACGGAAUCGCUGGAGUGCUUUCGAGUGUGAGCCUGCCUCCUUAAUUAGCAUAAUUCAGGCCUACUUUUACUCCUCCUCUGCUCCACUUUGCAUUUCAUUGUGGGGAGAAGAUGGCCUACUCUUCAAUCUGCACUAAAAAAAGAAUCCAGGGAAAUUCCUUUUUUUUUUUUUACUUGCUGCGGAAGAGCUUAGUAUGAUUUUUUUUUUCCCCCAAUCAAUUUUGAUACCUCAGUAGAUGGAUGGAAGUCUGGACUGAGUACUACAUAAAUCUCUGAGCACAUUUUGUCAAGUACAACACUACAGUUACCCUCCCUGUAAUCAGGCGUACACAAGGUGACACGCGGCCAAUGAAGCGCAUAAUCUGGAGUCAGCAAAGGCAAGUGGCAGAAGGAACAUGUCUUCUCUUUAUCCUCCCUCCCUGUCAGUGUUUUUCUCCCUGGCCCCUUCUGUGCUUUCCCUUCCCUCUGUCUGCUUGUCACUAGGUAACUUUUCCCUUUUCCCUUCUUCUGUCUGUAUCUCCGAGCACCUCUAGCCUCCCUGUCUGGCUCCGACAAAGUCUCUGAUCUCGCCGGGGCCUCGCGGAGAGGCUGACAUUGACGUUGCCUGGCUUUUCUCUGCCCAUUAAUGUCUUAAGUCUUACCCGGGCUAUGCGGCGCAUUCUCGACUAAGACAUCACCCCCACCCCCCGUGCUGCGCUCUUUAAUGACAAGCGUGGACAUCUCCAAACUCAGGAAAUCUCAUAUGGGCCGGAUCUCGAAAUUUUCCGAGAAUCAGAAACAUUAACACUCAAGUUUCACGCUGCCAUUUUGUUUCCCUGACGGAUCAUAUGGAAAGUUGUUUUUAGGGGUCAGUUUAUUCCCAGGCUUGGCCUCACUCCAAAAAAUAAAAACAG